rfam:Erinaceus europaeus unplaced genomic scaffold scaffold01270, whole genome shotgun sequence
CAAGCAUUUUUUUUCUUUUUCUUUUUCUUUUUUAAAAAAAUAUCUUGACAAACACAGGUGCUAACAGAAAAGGGUACCUUGUCACCUUUGGAGGACUUUCUGUGCUCUUCAAUGUGAAUUUAGAGGUUCUACACAC